rnacentral:rRNA from 1 species
GGCGCUUCACACCCACCUAGAGGAGCCUGUUCUAGAACCGAUAACCCCCGUUCAACCUCACCUUCUCUUGUUCUCCCCGCCUAUAUACCGCCGUCGUCAGCCCACCCUGUGAAGGCCCAGUAGUGAGCUAAACUGGCACAGCCCAAAACGUCAGGCCGAGGUGUAGCAUAUGAGAAGGGAAGAAAUGGGCUACAAUUGCAACAACAGCUAAAACGAAUUGUACCGCUGAAAAUGCACACAUGAAGGAGGAUUUAGAAGUAAGGGGGCAAACAGAGCGUCCCCCUGAAACGGUUCUGAAGCGUGCACACACCGCCCGUCACUCUCCCCUAGCUAGACCGGCACACAGUAUAUAAACACAAACAACCUACACGGGGAGACAAGUCGUAACAUGGUAAGUGUACCGGAAGGUGCACUUGGAUAAAU